GUUUUUGUAGUUGAAUAACAACAGUGGUUUUUCGUGCCAUAGGUUUUGGUUAAAGGCCAAAUAAAAAUG
rnacentral:tRNA from 1 species